rnacentral:rRNA from 1 species
AACAGGUAGAGCUGAGCACUCUAAUGGGACGUGCCCGUGACAAGCGGGAGGAAGGUGGGGAGUGACGUCAAAUCAUCAUGCCCUUUAUGAUCUGGGCUACACACGUGCUACAAUGGAUGGUACAGAGAGCAGCGAGGCCGCGAGGUGGAGCGAAUCUCAAAAAGCCAUUCUCAGUUCGGAUUGCAGUCUGCAACUCGACUGCAUGAAGUCGGAAUCGCUAGUAAUCGCGAAUCAGCACGUCGCGGUGAAUGCGUUCCCGGGCCUU